rnacentral:tRNA from 1 species
GGCUCCUUAGCUCAGUUGGUUAGAGCACCUGACUCAUAAUCAGGGAGUCCUUGGUUCGAGCCCAAGAGGAGCCA